GUAGUCGAUGGGAAACAGGUUAAUAUUCCUGUACUUGGUGUUACUGCGAAGGGGGGACGGAGAAGGCUAUGUUGGCCGGGCGACGGUUGUCCCGGUUUAAGCGUGUAGGCUGGUUUUCCAGGCAAAUCCGGAAAACCAAGGCUGAGGCGUGAUGACGAGGCACUACGGUGCUGAAGUGACAAAUGCCCUGCUUCCAGGAAAAGCCUCUAAGCAUCAGGUAACAUCAAAUCGUACCCCAAACCGACACAGGUGGUCAGGUAGAGAAUACCAAGGCGCUUGAGAGAACUCGGGUGAAGGAACUAGGCAAAAUGGUGCCGUAACUUCGGGAGAAGGCACGCUGAUAUGUAGGUGAAGCGACUUGCUCGUGGAGCUGAAAUCAGUCGAAGAUACCAGCUGGCUGCAACUGUUUAUUAAAAACACAGCACUGUGCAAACACGAAAGUGGACGUAUACGGUGUGACGCCUGCCCGGUGCCGGAAGGUUAAUUGAUGGGGUUAGCGGUAACGCGAAGCUCUUGAUCGAAGCCCCGGUAAACGGCGGCCGUAACUAUAACGGUCCUAAGGUAGCGAAAUUCCUUGUCGGGUAAGUUCCGACCUGCACGAAUGGCGUAAUGAUGGCCAGGCUGUCUCCACCCGAGACUCAGUGAAAUUGAACUCGCUGUGAAGAUGCAGUGUACCCGCGGCAAGACGGAAAGACCCCGUGAACCUUUACUAUAGCUUGACACUGAACAUUGAGCCUUGAUGUGUAGGAUAGGUGGGAGGCUUUGAAGUGUGGACGCCAGUCUGCAUGGAGCCGACCUUGAAAUACCACCCUUUAAUGUUUGAUGUUCUAACGUUGGCCCCUGAUCGGGGUUGCGGACAGUGUCUGGUGGGUAGUUUGACUGGGGCGGUCUCCUCCUAAAGAGUAACGGAGGAGCACGAAGGUUGGCUAAUCCUGGUCGGACAUCAGGAGGUUAGUGCAAUGGCAUAAGCCAGCUUGACUGCGAGCGUGACGGCGCGAGCAGGUGCGAAAGCAGGUCAUAGUGAUCCGGUGGUUCUGAAUGGAAGGGCCAUCGCUCAACGGAUAAAAGGUACUCCGGGGAUAACAGGCUGAUACCGCCCAAGAGUUCAUAUCGACGGCGGUGUUUGGCACCUCGAUGUCGGCUCAUCACAUCCUGGGGCUGAAGUAGGUCCCAAGGGUAUGGCUGUUCGCCAUUUAAAGUGGUACGCGAGCUGGGUUUAGAACGUCGUGAGACAGUUCGGUCCCUAUCUGCCGUGGGCGCUGGAGAACUGAGGGGGGCUGCUCCUAGUACGAGAGGACCGGAGUGGACGCAUCACUGGUGUUCGGGUUGUCAUGCCAAUGGCACUGCCCGGUAGCUAAAUGCGGAAGAGAUAAGUGCUGAAAGCAUCUAAGCACGAAACUUGCCCCGAGAUGAGUUCUCCCUGAGACUUAGAGUCUCCUGAAGGAACGUUGAAGACGACGACGUUGAUAGGCCGGGUGUGUAAGCGCAGCGAUGCGUUGAGCUAACCGGUACUAAUGAACCGUGAGGCUUAACCUUACAACGCCGAAG
rnacentral:rRNA from 1 species